GAUGAACGCUGGCGGCGUGCCUAAUACAUGCAAGUCGAGCGAACAGAUGAGGAGCUUGCUCCUCUGACGUUAGCGGCGGACGGGUGAGUAACACGUGGAUAACCUACCUAUAAGACUGGGAUAACUUCGGGAAACCGGAGCUAAUGCCGGAUAAUAUAUUGAACCGCAUGAUUCAAUAGUGAAAGACGGUUUUGCUGUCACUUAUAGAUGGAUCCGCGCCGCAUUAGCUAGUUGGUAAGGUAACGGCUUACCAAGGCAACGAUGCGUAGCCGACCUGAGAGGGUGAUCGGCCACACUGGAACUGAGACACGGUCCAGACUCCUACGGGAGGCAGCAGUAGGGAAUCUUCCGCAAUGGGCGAAAGCCUGACGGAGCAACGCCGCGUGAGUGAUGAAGGUCUUCGGAUCGUAAAACUCUGUUAUUAGGGAAGAACAAAUGUGUAAGUAACUAUGCACGUCUUGACGGUACCUAAUCAGAAAGCCACGGCUAACUACGUG
rnacentral:rRNA from 1 species